UACGUAGGGUGCAAGCGUUGUCCGGAAUUAUUGGGCGUAAAGAGCUCGUAGGCGGUCUGUCGCGUCGGCUGUGAAAUCCCGAGGCUCAACCUCGGGUCUGCAGUCGAUACGGGCAAACUGGAGUACUGCAGGGGAGACUGGAAAUUCCUGGUGUAGCGGUGAAAUGCGCAGAUAUCAGGAGGAACACCGGUGGCGAAGGCGGGUCUCUGGGCAGUAACUGACGCUGAGGCGCGAAAGCCGUGGGGGAGCAAACAGG
rnacentral:rRNA from 1 species